CUCCUCGAUGCACCUCCGCCUCCCCUUCGGCCCCGCACACACCACCGCCGCGCGCCAUGGCGUUGCCAGGAGGAGCGCCCACUCGCGCGCCCCCUUCCCCUCCUGCUAUUCCUCCCUCCGCAGCCGUCCUCCUCGUCCUCUUCUCUCCCCCAAUCCCCACGCCCCCUCUCUCCAAUCCCCUCAGAUCUCAUCCCUUCUCCUCUGCCACCCUAUUUGCUGGUCUCUUCCAUGGUGGGUGGACCAGGGAGAGGUGAAGGGACCGUGCCAUGGCUGACGAGGUGGAGCUCUACGUGAAGCAGACCGCCAUGGGCCCAUGGCUGAGGAGGUGGAGUAGACAUGAAGGAGCACGCGGGGAAGAUGACGAGCCAGGCCAUCUACAUCAGCCCCUCUGCCUCCACGACAUCCAUCUUCCUCAAGAAUGUUGGCCGGUUGAGCUCCCCCUUUUCUGGAGGAGAGAUGGCAGGGAGGCCGAGCCAUCUGCGCCGCAGUCGGCGUUGUCGCACACGGCCGCAGAGACAAGCGAGGAGGAGAAAGACAAGAAGGCCGAGCCAUCUGUGCCCCGUCGCUGCACAGCUGCGAAGAUGGGAGAGGAGAGGGGCGGUCGCCGGCAUUCACAGCGGGUGCCCCUUGAUGCUGCUGCACAUGGACCUCGGCAACACCCGUUCUUCUCUCCUCUGGUUGUUUUGAUUUGGCUCUGAUGCACCAUGUUUGCAAAUAAAAAGUUGGGGUUCCCACAAAAUCUUCUGGGUUCAAGGGCCAGCCACGCCAUGGUAUAAACUAGAGCUCAGAAAUAAUCGGUAUUGGCACAGGAAGUAUGUGCACGUGAACUCUUGAAGUGUUGUAAUCCUCUAUCAAGUAACAAACAACACAAAAGUUGAGCUAUCAUAAUGUGCGCUCAUAAAAUGUCCAGGUUUGAGGCUCACAGGAGAUAUCGAUGAAUUGAGUUGUUGUAUGGAUGGAAGUCACGUUUGAUCCAUUUCCUGAAGGCACAUAGUUUCUCGAAGGUCGAUCCUCGUUGUUUUAUCUUAGGUAUACAUGCAUCAUCUAUUUACAAAACGGUUAUUUGGAAUAUUCGUGGCUUUGACAUCUUAUAGAAAAAUGGUUAGCUGUUUUACACCUAAUGCUCAAUGGUGACUGCUCUGUUUUAGCUUCAAAAAUUGCAUGUGAAGCUAAUUCCGAGUCAAGCUAAUUCUGAUGGGUUCAUUUGUUGUAUAACUUCUGCAAGCGCCAGUGGUCUCGGUGGCUGAACCAAUACUCUCACUGUGUGCCCUCGUUUUACUCUUUCCCAACUUAAGAUGCGGAGAUUUCCAGGAGGAUUGCUAAUUUUGUUGACAACGUGCUCACGAUGCCCCGUCGGUCGAGCCAUGGAAGAAGCUAUUGUGGUUGCUGCCUCAACACCGUCUGCAGGGCAAAAUCAAUAUCCGUGCUGCCGCUGGUGAGAUGGAGACGACGAUUUGAAGUCCCAGCAGCAUUUCUGAUGGCAGAACCAGUUCUCGGACGCCCUCCAUCAGCCCUCACCUAUUGCCUUGAAGAGCAACACCCAACCUACAGCAGCAAGCCCGGAGCAACUCAGAGAUGGUGCAGGGGAAUGCACUCACCAAUCUGGAUAUAUUUGGACCACCAUAUUGUAGUUCCAAACCACAGUCAUCUCGGCCAUUCAUUAAUGGUAAUACUUUAUAAGUGCAUUGUUCCACAAUAGCUUUGAAUUAUGAAAAGGUCUAGACAUAGCUUUGUUUAGUUUGGGUUAAGUGGUAUCUAAAAUCCUAGCCUGUUGUUGGAACCUAACAUACUGGUAUGAAGAAAGCGUAUAUCAACUGUGAUUGAAUUCAACAUUGUUUCAGUUUAUUAGAUAGAUACUUCGCCACAGUUUGAUCAUGUAUCAAGUGGUUAAGAACAAGUCAUGUGGCAUGUCGUCAAAGCUCAAGAAGUACUAUUAAUAUUUGGAUAGGAAUUGGAUCGGAUGGCAAAUCAGCACGGUGGCCAAAAUCUGCUUGCUACCGUGGCCGGGAUGGACAAUCCAACCUGCUUUUGCCCGACUCCCUUCAGCAUCUGGCCGGCCAGACAACCAUCACCUUCUCAUGUAACCUGUUACCUCUCCAAACUUGUAGCACUGCAGAACAUGAAUUGUACUUCACUAGGCUCCCACGAGGUACAUAAGAAAGUUCAAUAAUUUUGUACGUUGUACAUGUGUUCUUGUUUUCUGCAAGAGUUAUAAUUAAAGGAAUGCAUUUAA